rnacentral:tRNA from 1 species
AAGGGUAUAGCUCAGUGGGUAGAGUACAUGCUUAGCAUGCAUGAGGUCCUGGGUUCAAUCCCCAGGACCUCCA